GCGACAGCGAGCAUUGAGGACGGAGCGAGACCAGAGCACGCUUCGCUCCAGACUGGACAGGUGGACGAACACCUAGACAAACACAUCAGCAUGUGAUAUUGACUUACACAGGAAGUUGUACCAUCGCUGGCCUGGUCUUCGUCCUUCUUCUUGCUCUUCUUCGUCUUCUGGUCUUUCUUUGAGUCUUCCUCACCUGUGGGUGGAGGAGCAUGUUGUUACCCAUGAUGCACCUGAUCUUUGAACCCAUUGGCGUCAUCUGACACACCGCUCUGAGGUUUCCAUGUGUUCCAGACCCUUCCAAACCUUCCCAGGCCUGGAGAGAGACUCACCCAGCGGAGCUUUGAGGAAGCGUCUCUCGAUGCCGU